AGAGUUUGAUCCUGGCUCAGGAUGAACGCUGGCGGUAUGCUUAACACAUGCAAGUCGAACGGAUGUUUUCGGACAUUAGUGGCGGACGGGUGAGUAACGCGUGAGAAUCUAGCUUCAGGUUGGGGACAACAGUUGGAAACGACUGCUAAUACCGAAUGUGCCGAAAGGUGAAAGAUUUAUUGCCUGAAGAAGAGCUCGCGUCUGAUUAGCUAGUUGGUGGGGUAAGAGCUUACCAAGGCGACGAUCGGUAGCUGGUCUGAGAGGACGAUCAGCCACACUGGGACUGAGACACGGCCCAGACUCCUACGGGAGGCAGCAGUGGGGAAUUUUCCGCAAUGGGCGAAAGCCUGACGGAGCAAUACCGCGUGAGGGAAGAAGGCUCUUGGGUUGUAAACCUCUUUUCUUGGGGAAGAAAAAAAUGACGGUACCCAAGGAAUCAGCAUCGGCUAACUCCGUGCCAGCAGCCGCGGUAAUACGGAGGAUGCAAGCGUUAUCCGGAAUGAUUGGGCGUAAAGCGUCCGCAGGUGGCAUUUCAAGUUUGCGGUUAAAGGUUCUGGCUCAACCAGA
rnacentral:rRNA from 1 species